rnacentral:rRNA from 1 species
GAGCGGCCGAUGUCGGAUUAGCUAGUUGGCGGGGUAACGGCCCACCAAGGCGACGAUCCGUAGCUGGUCUGAGAGGACGACCAGCCACACUGGAACUGAGACACGGUCCAGACUCCUACGGGAGGCAGCAGUGGGGAAUUUUGGACAAUGGGCGCAAGCCUGACGACGCAACGCCGCGUGGAGGAUGAAGAUCUUCGGGUCGUAAACUCCUUUCGAUCGAGACGAAUGGCCUCCGGGUGAAUAAUCCGGAGGAGUGACGGUACCGAGAGAGGAAGCCCCGGCUAACUCCGUGCCAGCAGCCGCGGUAAUACGGGGGGGGCAAGCGUUGUUCGGAAUUACUGGGCGUAAAGGGCUCGUAGGUGGCCAACUAAGUCAGACGUGAAAUCCCUCGGCUUAACCGGGGAACUGCGUCUGAUACUGGAUGGCUUGAGUUUGGGAGAGGGACGCGGAAUUCCAGGUGUAGCGGUGAAAUGCGUAGAUAUCUGGAGGAACACCGGUGACGAAGGCGGCGUCCUGGACCAACACUGACACUGAGGAGCGAAAGCCAGGGGAGCAAACGGGAUUAGAUACCCCGGUAGUCCUGGCCCUAAACGAUGAAUGCUUGGUGU